AAGGACAUUUAGAGUACCUGUACUGAAAGGGAGAAGGUGGAAGAACCUCUGAGCAUGCCCUGCUUCCUGUGCUGUUACGCAGAUUCUAAACACAGCAAAUCGAAGAGAGGGCUACGCCAAACGGACGGCUCUCCCAGACGGGCUCAGUGCCACGCACGCUGGGGGCAGGUCUGAAUGCAAGCUCGAUGGCAACUCUCUGCUCGGUCUGCCAAGGCUCCAGCUCAAAACGGCUUCUCGGCAUCCUCCACCUUCUUUUUCAAAAGUAACAAAGCCAUUUGAUUUCCUCCCACCCCUUCUCCGUGCGCCCCUGCGCUCUUCCCCUCCCCCUCGCUGGC